rnacentral:rRNA from 1 species
UACGGAGGGAGCUAGCGUUGUUCGGAAUUACUGGGCGUAAAGCGCACGUAGGCGGCUUUGUAAGUUAGAGGUGAAAGCCCGGGGCUCAACUCCGGAACUGCCUUUAAGACUGCAUCGCUUGAAUCCGGGAGAGGUGAGUGGAAUUCCGAGUGUAGAGGUGAAAUACGUAGAUAUUAGGAAGUAACGACCGAAGCAUCGGCGAAUGGGC